rnacentral:rRNA from 1 species
UACGUAGGGGUGCAAGCGUUGUCCGGAAUUAUUGGGCGAAAGAGCUCGUAGGCGGUUCGUCGCGUCGGCUGUGAAAUCCCCGAGGCUCAACCUCGGGGUCUGCAGUCGAUACGGGCGGACUGGAGUACUGCAGGGGAGACUGGAAUUCCUGGUGUAGCGGUGAAAUGCGCAGAUAUCAGGAGGACACCGGUGGCGAAGGCGGGUCUCUGGGC